UCAUAGUACGUGAAACCGUUCAGGGGUAAACGGGAGGGAUCCGGAAGGUCGAACGGGGAGAUUCAAUCCUGUCCGCUCGUCGGCACCCGAUCCGCGAUUCCGGAUGUCGUCGGCCGCCGGCCACACCGCAAGGUGCGAGCCGCGUUAGGUCGUCGGCACCGGCCGGUCGGGGUCGUUUCGGCGGCGGCGGGCUGCACUUCUCUCCCGGUAGGACGUCGCGACCCGUUGGACGAGGGGUCUAAGGCCCGGGGUGGAGUCCGAGGGGAUCGCCGAGGAAUCUCGGGUUCACGUUCCCCCGGACCCCCGGUCGCCCGGCCCCGGUUCGACGGUACGAGAUGUGGAGAUGGCCCGCUCUCUUGCGAGCGUCCGGCCCGGUGGGCAAGCUCCGUGGGUUUUCGCUUGGCUAGUGCCGCGGCUAACGCCGCGUCCCAGCCGCCCGCGGGCUGCUGGUCUCCGGAGUCCUCGGACAGCUUUGGCCUUUUCUCCCGUCAGCGGCGCUAUUGCUUCGGAUGCCUUCCCGACCCGUCUUGAAACACGGACAAAGGA
rnacentral:rRNA from 1 species